GCCGAUGAAGGACGCGGUAAGCUGCGAAAAGCUACGGGGAACUGCAAGCAAGUAUUGAUCCGUAGAUGUCCGAAUGGGGAAACCCACCUGCCGUCAUGGGCAGGUAUCCGAAAGGAAGGGAACCCGGGGAACUGAAACAUCUAAGUACCCGGAGGAAGAGAAAUCAAACGAGAUGCCCACAGUAGCGGCGAGCGAAGAGGGCAGAGGGCAAACCGGGGAGCUACGGCUCUCCGGGGUUGAGGACUGCAUUUAGUCUUAAUGGUUUAUCCGAACUACCUGGAAAGGUAGGCAACACAGUGUAAAAGCCACGUAGGUUAAAGACCAGAGAGAUGAGCAGUAUCCAGAGUACCAUGAGGCACGAGGAAUCUUGUGGGAAGCCGGGGGGACCACCCUCCAACCCUAAACACUGAAUGGCGACCGAUAGCGCAUAGUACCGUGAGGGAAAGGUGAAAAGAACCCCGGGAGGGGAGUGAAAGAGAACCUGAAACCGUAUGUCUACAAGCAGUCGGAGCGAAAGCGACGGCGUGCCUAUUGAAGAAUGAACCAACGAGUUACGUGCACUAGCGAGGUUAAGUGGAAGACACGGAGCCGAAGCGAAAGCGAGUCUUAAGAGGGCGGAUAGUUAGUGUACGUAGACCCGAAACCGCAGUGAUCUACCCAUGUCCAGGUUGAAGCGCAGGUAAAAUUGCGUGGAGGACCGAACCUGUGAGCGUUGAAAAGCUUUAGGAUGAGAUGUGGGUAGAGGUGAAAUUCCAAUCGAACGCGGAGAUAGCUGGUUCUCCCCGAAAUAGCUUUAGGGCUAGCCUCAAGUAGUAAGUAUAGGCGGUAGAGCACUGAUCGGGCUAGGGGCCAUAAAGGUUACCGAACCCUGUCAAACUCCGAAUGGUUAUACUGUAGAGCUUGGGAGUCAGACUACGAGUGAUAAGAUCCGUGGUCAAAAGGGAAACAGCCCAGACCACCAGCUAAGGUCCCCAAUGUCGUACUAAGUGGAAAAGGAUGUGGGGUCUCUAAAACAACCAGGAUGUUGGCUUAGAAGCAGCCACCAUUUAAAGAGUGCGUAAUAGCUCACUGGUCGAGAGACCCUGCGCCGAAGAUUACCGGGGCUAAAGUACGAAACCGAAGCUGUGGCUACGACGUAAGUCGUGGGGUAGGGGAGCGUUCUGUGAGGGCUGAAGUCGUUCUGUAAGGAACGGUGGACUUCACAGAAGUGAGAAUGUUGGUAUGAGUAGCGAAAAGAAUGGUGAGAAUCCAUUCCACCGAAAGCAUAAGGAUUCCUGGGCAACGAUCGUCGUCCCAGGGUAAGUCGGGACCUAAUCCGAGGCAUGGAGCGUAGGAGAUGGACAACUGGCAGAUAUUCCAGUACCGGUAAUGAUUGUUUGAGCGAUGGAGUGACACAGGAGGGCAGGCAGGCAGGAGAUUGGUUGUUCCUGUACAAGCGUGUAGGGUGGAACGCAGGCAAAUCCGCGUUCUGAGAGCCUGAGGCGUGAUGUGGAGGUUCCGGAAACGGAACUGAAGCUGCUGACCCCACACUGUCGAGAAAAGCUUCUAGUUAGAGAAUUACCGCCCGUACCGUAAACCGACACAGGUAUGCGGGGAGAGAAUCCUAAGGUGCGCGGGAGAACCCUCGUUAAGGAACUCGGCAAAAUGUACCCGUAACUUCGGGAUAAGGGUAGCCGCUGUUGUGAAGUCUGAACAGAUGGAGCAUGAGGCGGUCGCAGAGAAGAGGCCCAAGCGACUGUUUACCACAAACACAGGUGCCUGCUAAAGAGAAAUCUGACGUAUAGGUGCUGACACCUGCCCAGUGCCGGAAGGUUAAGGAAGGAUGUCCGGAGCAAUCCAAAGCAUUCGACCGAAGCCCCGGUGAACGGCGGCCGUAACUAUAACGGUCCUAAGGUAGCGAAAUUCCUUGUCGGGUAAGUUCCGACCCGCACGAAAGGUGUAACGAUUUGGGCACUGUCUCAACGAGGGACCCGGUGAAAUUGAAGUACCUGUGAAGAUGCAGGUUACCCGCGACUGGACAGAAAGACCCCAUGGAGCUUUACUGUAACCUGACAUUGGGUUCUGAUACAUCACGUACAGGAUAGGUGGGAGGCAUGGAAGCGAGGACGCUAGUCUUCGUGGAGCCGCUGUUGGGAUACCACCCUUGAUGUAUCGGAAUUCUAACCGUAGGAGUAACGAAACUCGGGACAGUGUCAGGCGGGCAGUUUGACUGGGGCGGUCGCCUCCCAAAGAGUAACGGAGGCGCCCAAAGGUUCCCUCAGCGCGGCCGGAAAUCGCGCGAAGAGUGUAAAGGCAGAAGGGAGCUUG
rnacentral:rRNA from 1 species